UGUAAGCGUAUACCAAAGUUGUUGCAGUUAAAACGCUCGUAGUCGGAAUUUGGCAGUUCCGGAUGUGUGCACGUCGUGUGCGCACUUCGCGGGGAUUGCUUUUGUGGUCUUGCGUAGGAUGAGGCACUUUUAUUAGUGAACGUCCUCACGCAACCACUUUUUACUGUGAGAAAAUCAGAGUGCUCAAAGCUGGCAUUUGCCGUGAAUGUAUUAGCAUGGAAUAAUAGAAUAGGACUUGGUUCUAUUUUGUUGGUUUGUUGGGACUGAGUAAUGAUUAAGAGGGACAGUUGGGGGCAUUUGUAUUUCGGUGCUAGAGGUGAAAUUCCUAGAUUACCGAAAGACAAACUGCUGCGAAAGCGUCUGCCAAGGAUGUUUUCAUUGA
rnacentral:rRNA from 1 species